UCAUUCAAACUUUACGCCAAAAUCUAACCAAAUCUUAAAUCCUAAAAAAACCCUAAUAAAAUCCUAAAUCCUAAAUCAAACCCUAACCAAAUCCUAAAUCUUACACCAAAUCCUAAUCAAAUCCUAAUAAAAUCCUAAAUCUUAAAUCAAAUCCUAACCAAAUCUUAACCAAAUCCUAAAUCCUAAACCAAACCUUAAUUCUAAAUCAAAUUCUAAUCAAAUCCUAAAUCCUACACCAAAUCCUAACCAAACCCUAAUCCUAAACCAAAUCCUAAUCUUAAAUCAAAU
rnacentral:lncRNA from 1 species